rnacentral:rRNA from 1 species
UACGGGGGGAGCAAGCGUUGUUCGGAUUUACUGGGCGUAAAGGGCGCGUAGGCGGCCAGCACAAUUCAGUUGUGAAAUCUCCGAGCUUAACUCGGAACGGUCAACUGAUACUGUGCGGCUAGAGUGCGGAAGGGGCAACUGGAAUUCUUGGUGUAGCGGUGAAAUGCGUAGAUAUCGAGAGGAACACCUGCGGCGAAGGCGGGUUGCUGGGCCGACACUGACGCUGAGGCGCGAAAGCGUGGGGAGCAAACAGG